GGGGCCGAUCAGCAUCGACAGACGUGUAAAGGCGUUGCUUUCUCCCGGCCUGACCCACCGUUUCGGGUCAUUAAACUAAAUGCGAACGAUAACUUCGCUGAGGAAGUCCGCCUGGCCGCGUAAUGCGGUCCGGUAGAAAUCCGACCUAAGCCCUAGGGGUUCAGAUCCUUAGGCGGGGCCCGGUGGGGGCCUGGCAACAGAACCCCACCACC
rnacentral:tmRNA from 1 species